CUGCGAGCUGGGUUGUGUAAAGGCUGGUCAUUUUGGGGCGCUUAGGGGUGGGUGCCGGGGGGCGCGCUUUCCCUCGUGAAGGUCGCUCCAGGAGUCAUGCGUACAUUCGUUCAUUUUGCUCUGGACGCACUGAUGUUCCCGGCUCGCCGCCGUGCCGCAGUCACGAGGCUCUCCGAACGCCUUUCACUGUGUUUCUGUUUACAUUCGCGUCUGCAAGACCCGGCGGCGCGACCGAGGCCCGAACAGCAUUAUUCACAAGAGCCAAAAAGUGGAAACAACCCAAAUACCCAUCAACUGAUGAAUGGAUGGAGAUGGGCUGCCAUGUUGUGAGCUGCCCCAUGGGGAAGAGGCUCACAUGUGAGGAACUGAGGGAGGCCUCCAGAAAACAGCCAGUGAAGAACUGAGACCCUCAGUCCAAUAGCCUAUGAGGAACUGAAUCCUGCUGACAACCAUAUGAAUGAGCUUGGAAGCAGAUCCUUCCCCAGUGAAGCCUUCAUGUGAGACUGCAGCCCACUUGACACUUUGAUUUGUAGCUUGUGACAGACCCCAAGCCAGAAGAGUCAGGCCGUAUGCAGUGGCUCAACGCCUGCAAUCCCAGAACUUUGGGAGGCCGAGGCAGGUGGAUCACUUGAGGAAAUCCAAGCUAAUUCCUGUGCCAAAGGCUGGCUUAAGAGAGGGCCCACAAUGCAAUUCUGGCCUGUCUUCCUCUGCUGGAUGUCACCUUAUUUGAACUGGACACUUAGAACCAUGACAGCCAUCUGUGUCUAUGAGGGAGUGAGCCAGAGAACCAAGCUGACAUGUUGAAUAUGGACUUCUUUAAGGGCAUGAUGGCAAACAUCCUCAUUGUGUAAGUCGAAUAAGCCAG
rnacentral:lncRNA from 1 species